AUUUAUGAUAUUAAAUAUUGCAUGAAUUGUUGAUGCUACAGUAAGGUUUUAAAUACAUUGUUACCUACGGGGUUGAUAAGUUAAUAUUGUUGAACUGUGCUCCUAUAUGUAAUCGUCAAGGUACAUUUUAAAAGUGCAGCUUUUAGAGUACAACAACACAUUGUAUUUUAUAUUCAGUUGACCUCUCUGCUUCCACUGGCGUUUCUCUUUUUAAGGAGAGAGUUAGCCAUUUGACGGUUUUAAGUCAGUGGGAACUUAUUUUUAGUUACUUGGUGAAAUUAAAUUUUAAUUUGUAUAUUUAACGUACAGAGUAGGUUGGUAAUAACAGCUGAACUGUGUAACAUUGUUGCUUCAAAUUGAAGUUUAUACUAUGAACACUCAGCAUCUACGCUCACAUAGCAGCAUAUUGUUGAGCUGUCUUGAGUUUGAGAAGUGAAGACGCAUUGACCCAUGCACUGUGUAUUACGUAGUGCCUCCGUCACGGAGCGCCAUGCCUCCUGAAGGGAUCAUGGAAUUGGCUUCCUCCAUGCGAUGAAGCAUCGUCUGCUGGGCAUCUGGAGCAGCAGCAUUGGGAGGGUUGUUCUGAAGUAGUGUUUCAGUUUGGGCUAGAAGGACUUGAUGAGAGUGGUGAACAAGUCUGGAGUAAGUUUCCUUAAUAGUGUAUAGGGUUAGUAUUGUUGCUUUUGAUUCUGUAUUCCAGUGAGGCAAGAUAUUCUUAUUCCUGGGUUGGGCAAAUAGAUGGCAUUAGAGGCAGUGGGAAGCUCUUGAGUUACAAAAGGCACCACAUCCACCAUCUGCAAGUCAGCCUCCUUUUUUUCCUACUUUGUAUCUCCUGGUCUCUUUCCCGUUCUCCUUCCUCUUAGGUCUAAGCUUCAGACUUAGGUUUGCAGAUUGUAUUGUGUCUGUGACCUUACUCCAUUCACUAAGGGGUGAAGAUAGUCUGACCCCAAUCCUCUUCAUCUGAGGGGGUGUUAGCUCACUGUGUGGAUCCUACAGUCUGGAAUCCUGCAGCACCAGGGCACUGAAUUGCUUCCCAAAGGCUGUCACAGCAGCAUAGCUUUCCAGGGUAGCCUUAUUAGUGUAGGCAGCUGCCAGACCCUUGGAAGAGUGGCUCACUACUGCCAUAAGGCUGUAUUUGCUGGUAUUAAAAUUCUUCAGAAUUGAAAUUUUCAUUUGAAAUUCUGUUUUGGUUGACUUAAGUUUGAGAGACAGUUCAAAAACUGAUGUAGAGACUCAUUCAACAGCAAUGACUUUUUAAAAACUUACAUUAAGUAAAACUGCCAGUAGAUUAAAUCCUCCCCAUACGUAAGAGCUUUCUCUACUCACUACUGUGGAAUCCGAGCAUUGUUGAGAGGCUACUAAUCGGUCAACAUGUUUUUAAGUGUGCUUUUAUUAAAUGCUUGUGUACGUUUUGUAAUUCAGUGUAGAAAAGGUUGACCUUGUAAUGUACAUUUUUUGUAUGUAUAGCCUUUUAAGUAGCCUUGUCCUUAUUUAAAUAAACUGAAUAAAACU
rnacentral:lncRNA from 1 species